rnacentral:tRNA from 1 species
GUCCCUGUAGCUUAAACCAAAGCAUGGCACUGAAGACGCCAAGAUGGGCACUACCCCAAGGAC